UAUCACAUCGUCAUGACAACCACCAUACCAUCAUCAUCAUCAUCAUCAUCAUCUCAGCCUCUGAUACUUGCGUCUUGUGCUAUAGAAUAGUAUAUAAUUCUGUGGCUCACCCUCAGCAUCCUCCCUAGAACUGUGCUAUACGAUAGGGUAGCCAGUAGUCACAUGUGGCUACUGAGAACUUGAAAUGUAGCUCGUUCAAACUGAGAUGUGCCAUAAGAAUACAAGCUCGAUUUAGAAGACUUAGCACCAAAAAAAGACACUUCAAGUUCCCAAAAGGAGGAAAAAGAAAGGAUAAGAUAUGACAAUAUAAUCAGCAGUCGUGAGUUCCUGCUCUUCCUCAGAACAAUUCCUCUGGCCAAGGAGUAGAGAAAAAACACAGAAAGCCCUAAAACCCAGGCCCAUAGACCCUCAAAGGCUCUUCGACCAGCCAUAUCGCCAUCCUACAGUCACAGAAUUACUUAGUCAGAAAAUCUGGCCAAGAUUCCAGAUGCCAACUCAAAUGCUUUCUCCACUAAAGAACAAAAGAGUGACAGAACUGUGAAUACACACAUAACAUGCACACAAGUACUUCUUAAACUACCACAGUCACAAAAAAAUGCUGUCGUCCAGGAAAAAGAAAAACGAGUUACAUUGGGUAUUGGAACAUUGGAACCAUUGUAAGGCAGUAUCCACUCAAAGGCAAAGCUCAUGGAAGUUUUUUCCAAAUCAAACUUCAUCUGUCUUACAUUUGGUGGGAUUCCUCCAAGAUUCUGGCACGUGUUUGUCUUUCUUUCUUUCGUAGUAAGGGAAUGUAGAUUUGAGAGAAAGAAGAAAGGAGAAAGAUUGAAGAGCGAGAUUAUACCACCAGAGCGAAGAGAUGGUACCACCAUUAGUGAAAAAGAAAUCAGAGAACACAAAAGACAAAGGAUGAAGACUAAAAGCAAGCUUUGCCCGCAUUAGUUUUGCUUAGAGUUAACCCUUGCCCAACUCCCUGUUAGUCUACAAAUGAUCUCUUAUCUACUCUAAGUCGUGACAUGAGUCCAUUGAUAAAGUCCUGUGGGGGGAUGCAGUGUCUGAUCAAACAAUGCUCAGGAGGCAGAGUUCAUUGACCAUGUCCAGUUGUUGAGUAUAUUUCGAGGUUUUGAGAUGUUCUAUUUGCCACAGCUUUCAACUGGACUUUGUUUCUCUGAACCUGGGUGUGCAAAUGAAAAAAAAAUCAUUAAAAACAAAGCUCUACAAAGACAGACAACUGGUAUUUUUUCCCUUCUGUAUUCCUGGCAUUUAGGAGAGUGUUUGGCAC
rnacentral:lncRNA from 1 species